UACCGCGCACUUGAGCACUUGGAGCACUGACUUUCAGUGUUCGAAGUGCGCCACUGAAAAAACCAGCAGAAUUCAGUGCACUGAAAGUACCCGGAUGGUGCACUGCAAACGGGCAAAAAAUGUAAAACGAUGGACACUACUCGCUCUACACGGCCGCCAUCUUGGCGACGUAGCGGAAGAGGAGGAGCCCUUUCGCCAGCUUUUCAUUUUAUUUCUAAAACAAUGGCGGACAGCACAAGCGGUAGACCACGAAGCUCCAGACCGUAAAUAGACGUUUCCUGGAGGUGCUGGUGCUGGUCCUCUGCUGCCCUCCCGACAUCUGCAUCUGGCUCCAAUGACCUCUGGCACCUCACAUCCACCUCCAGGGCCUUUAAGAAGAUGGACCUCCAUCGCGUCUUCAGUAUCCCGAAGGACCUCUCCACAACACACCUGGCCUUUGACAGGCAGCAGUUGUAGCUUGGAGGUGGACAGGCUGCCUGAAGGGGGUCAUGAGGCAGAUGGGUUGGGACAGGCAGGGGGAGCCACCAUCCCCAAGGAUACAGUAUCCUGGUGGAGGGUAUGACUGCUCAUAGAAGAUGGGGCUGUUAUUCAGGACCCUGGCAUCAUGCACUGAGCCCGGGGCCUGUCGAAGGCCCUGGCCACCACCCGAUAGGAGGUGGCGCUGGCAAGCCAAAAAAUAAAAACUAGACAGGAGAUCUCGGGGCCCCAACCGUGGUCAGUCAGUGCCCAGCACAGCCAUGAGGGCGUUGAAUGACUCUCGGUGAGCCUGAAGUCCACCCUCAUGUCACUGUGGCCAUCACAAUGCAACGCCAGCAGUGGCAUUGCAACAUUGAUACGGCAGCGCCGCCUGGGACUGGGUGGCUGCUGUAGAGUGUGGGGAGGGGAAGGGAAGAUUAUAUUAAUAUGUAAGUCAUUUUAUCAAUAAAAUGUUGUCAUUGA